UAGGGUUCAAUGAUAAAGUAGUUGAUUUUAUUGAACAUCGAUGUAAAACUAGUUUAUACCGACGAUAUAUAUUCGAUGAGUACAAAUUUUUAUUUAUAAGUUUUUAUGAAACAAAAGUCAAAGAAAGAUUAAACUUGAACGGAAGAAAUGCUAUUGGAGGUGCAUGGUAACCGACCUAUAAAACUUUUCUCCUCCUAUGAAAGUUAGUGGUCAUAAUAUAUAUCCUAU
rnacentral:lncRNA from 1 species